UUUGUGUUGUUUCGUUCUAGUUGGUCAGUAGUGGAGCCCAGUUGGGGUCGAUCGGGGACCUUUGUCGCAUUUGGGAUUCUUCUUUUAUUUUGGUUCCAUAGUCGGACCUUGAUUGUAUCUGAAUGAUGUAAUGCUUUAUUCAUGUAAUUGUGUGAAGUGGCGAUUGUAAGCCAACUAUGUAUCUCUUUCCCUUAUGUAUUACAUGGGUUGUGUGAAGAUUACCUCACUUGCGACAUUGCUUUCAAUGGGGUUAUGCCUCUAAGUCGUGCUUCGACACGUGGGAGAUAUAGCCGCAUCGAGGGCAUUACAAGUUGGCAAUCAGAGCCUUCCCCGACCUUAGGAGCCCCCACUGAUUGAUCGUUUUAGCGGCCGAGUGGUGUCUAGAAAAAUGUUUUGAGUCAUUUAGGAAUUAUAUAUCGGAGACUUUAGGAAUUCUUUUUACUUCCCAGUCUCCUCAUCGCUCUGGUAAGGCAUCCUGACGUAGAGUUUUGACUCUUCUCCCCUCAAAUUUCACUGAAAAAAUUUUAGGAUCACGCGGGUAUCUUGGAAUCGUUCCGAUGGUUUUAUGACGAGAACAUUGUCUUGGUGCCUCCUGUCAGGGGUUUUGUGGAAGUGUCCCGGGGAGUUGAGCUCUGAGGUGUUGUCGUCAUAAUUUUAUCGUUGCAGUUCUGGAAUACCUGAAAAUCUCUUUUAUGCAGUUCGUUGGUGAGAUAACCUCGACGCCACCCAGUAUUGGGGCGGGAGUUCGGUAGUAUUGCCAUAACUCGUAUAACGGAUGCUUUUCGAAGGUUGAGGUAGAUGAUUUCCGAAGGUUUCUGGGUUAUGUGUUGAAGGAUGGAUACAGCUGGAUGUAGGAUUUGCUAGAUUUGGGUGAGAUAUUAUGCUUCCCCUGUAUCCCCAACACCUGAUUGCAUAACCGGAAAGGUUCGGGAGUUUCAUAGGUGGGAAUUCAAGUAGCUCUUAGGAUAUCUUUCCGACAGAUGUAUGAUAUGAAAUUGGGGUUCGACGUCUAGUGGUCUGCCUAUUCACGGUCGGUUUUACAGUGGUCUCGUUGUGUCUUAAAGAGUCCUUGGCUAUGCCGACUCGGGGACGCUUCGUAUGUCAUGUGCACUACCUUGUACAUGAUGGUGUUGUACGAUCGAGCCCGUGUAGGCCCCACCACGAAAACUUCGGACGAAAUCUCUAUCAUAUGUUUGUUCUGGCUUAUUCUGCAAGCCAAUCCUUUGUUUUGUUUGGAGUUGUGGUAUUCGAGUUACUUCAAUGUCAAGUGUUGAUUCCAUACCUUCCCCAAUUGGUGUUCUCAUGUUCCCAUGUGCAUACUAAUCCUUCUUGAUCAUCGAGAUUGUCUUGCCAAUCCUUCUCAACCGGUGUGUUUCUCUUCAAGUGAAUCCGAUCAUUUCAACUUCCGCAAGAUCAAUUAUCACUUCUUCUCAACGGUGUUCGUUUCAUCCAUUCCAAAUUGUCUUUGUUUCUCCCACCCUCCCUCCCUUGUUUUUUUCUUCAAGGACUCAGAUUUCUUAUUCUAGUAUCCUUUAUUGAUGGGAAGCCUCUCCAUUCCUUUUCCGUCAAGGUUCUUAUCCGUUGAUUCCCAGGAAGAUGCUAACGAAGCUUAAAGUUCGUCAUUCUUCAUUCUUUUUCUUCUCCGGUGGAUUCAAUUCAAACUUCGGUAUUGAGCAUUGUCUUUUCUUUUGUCCAAUGCUUUUCUUAUGCCGGAGUACCUCAUUAUCAUUCCACUUCUCACUAUUUAAUUGUUCCUGAGUGCUGGAGAUAUCUCAAAGAUUCGUGUGUCCACUCUACAUUCGUUCAAGCUCUGUCGAGGAUGUUAUAUCAUUCAAGUCAUUUAAUUAAACCGGUGCAUUCUCCUUUUCAAGUAAUCUUUUCAACGGUGUUUUCUUUUCAGUGGGCCCUAACCCACAGGUCUAUUCCCAGGAUCUUACCUGACUCUUCUUAUUUCCCGGAGAUAUCCUCAAAUUUCUUUUCGAAGUUUGACGCAAGAAUGAUUUAUCAUCAGUCAAAUGUCUUUCUCCAAGAUCUUUCAAAUUUUUUUCAUAGUUGGCUCAACCUCUUCGCUCUUGUUUCUUCCGGAGUGCUUCAACAAUUUAUUGUGGUGUUUCUCGUUGUCAUUCUCAGGUUCUGAAGAACGAAGAAGACUUUUCCUCCAUAUCUAUCCGUUUUCUCUGAGAUUCGUGAUUCUAGCUUGUUGCCAUACUCUCAUAAUUAUUUUCGAUUGUUGAAAUUCUUUUCACCUAUCCGGAGCAAUUCAAGAGUCUUCUCAGUGUGUUAUCCGGAGUCCAUCAAUUCAGGUUUAUUCAUUCUCAGCUGUCAGUUAUCAUUCUCCUAUCUUACCGGUGCAUCGUUCAAGUGAUCUCUAAUCAGUUUGUGAUCACUUCGUUCUCUUGUAUCUAAAUUCUCUCAAGUAUCUCCAUCCAUUUCAUAAUUAUUCCUGGUUUUCCUUUAUUUUCCUUCGUUCGUUUCCAAUUCUUACCGGUGGCUCGCUCAAGAUUUCUAUUCCUUUGUUAUUGUAUUGAUUCAGUCGUUAUUUCUAUCCUACUGGUGGUUCGUUCAAUAUUUUCCCAAGUUGGCGCUAUAUCUAUCUUAAUCCUUUCUACGAGAAUAAGUAGUGUGCCAAAUCGAUUGAGUGUCAUCAAUUUAAUUGGUGAAGGAUACGCAUAACGUAAUUCUUAUUCUUGCUUCAUCCAAGUGAUUAAUUCUUUAUUCCGGAGGCUCAUCAAAUUCUCGGUUUCACUUGAUUCAUUUUUCUUUCCCGGAGUCCCAAGCUCUCGCAAUUAUAUCACCACGAAGAUUUAUCUAAAUCUUUACAAGGUUCAAACUUGUGUUCUCAACUACCCUUUCUUUCUUUUUGAUAAUUCUUUUGUUUAACGGAGUUCUUCAUGAAGGUUCUACAUGUUGUUUCAUAAAGGAUUUAAUUCCUUCUCGAAGUGUUCUUCAAGCUUCUUUUCUGAGGAGUUUAAGCAUUCUUCAUCUUGCAUCCGAAGUGCAAUUCUUUCUUCUGUAUCAUUGGAGGUGGUAUUAUGUCAUUUUUGAUAAUUUGAGUUCAUGCUUCAUGAUUCACAUGUUGUUAAGAAUGAGAUAUAUUAAAUCCAUCAACCUCUUCGUUGGUGUUAUAUUGGGUUAUAUUUCACCUAAAGUUUUCCCUAAGGUCUGUUGCUAUUUAUGGUGCUUAUAAGUGACCCAAGUUCUUCAUUUAUCCUCUCAGUGAAAUAGUUUCUCGUCUCCCUGUUGAGAUCAAUCCAAUCUAUUGUUUUCGUUAGUGGCAGAAUUUCACCUCAUAGUUUUGAGAUGUUUUCCAUAAGCCCACUACAAACUUAUUCUUUUCGUAGUUGGUUUUCCAACAACUCCGUUCUAGCAUUUGUUGCAACCGUCCUCUCUCAAGAUCUUGUUUCCCUUCGUUCCGGAGACAUUGUGAUGUUGCUCUCCUCAACCCAUCUUCUCGGAUUGUCAGGACCAUGUUUUGAUCGUGCUUAUCCUUUUAACCGGAGUAUUGUGUCCCUUUUCUCAAGCUCUUUUAUGUUAUCUAGUUUUUCAUCUCUUUUAAACCGGAGUGCUGUCCGAGAUCUUUCUUACCCCCUUGUUCCAUUCAUUCAAUAGUUACGGAGGUAGUGUAUUGUGAUUUCAUCAAGUAUCUUCUCAUCUUAUCGAGUUAUUAUUCAAUUCUUUUUCUUUUCAACCGGAGUGUUGUUGGAAUUUGUUCUUCCUUGUUUCUCUUUUCUAACGGAGUGUUUCCAACUUCGUUCAUCUCCGUUGUAUUCUUUUCUCUAAAUGGCUUAACCUUUUUCAAGGUUCUUUGGUUUCACUCGUUUGUCAAAGGAGCAACUUAGUUUUACCUCUUCUUUUUCUCUUCUGUUUUCCCUCCGGUGCCAUUCUAGAUCUCGGGACGAGAUCCUCUCGUAGUGGUGGAGUGUUGUAAUGCCCCGAGACCGAUGUGCCAGGUGUCCUCCAGUUAUUCGCUGUGGUUGCCUUGUCUUUGCUUGCGUGUCAUGCAUUUCAUAUCAUGUCAUCAUGUGCAUUGCAUCACCAUGUUUUCAAAACCUGCAUCCGUCCGGGUUCCCCCAGUGCCAUCCUUUGUCCGUUCUGAGCCCAGACACACUUGCACGCGCCCCUGGCACGUCCGAAAUAUUAUUUUAUAAGUGAUCGGAAAAUGUUCUUGGAAUGGGGUGAAAGUUGGCAUGUGGUGUUGUUAUAGUCUAGGUAGACCGCCUGCCAAGUUUCAUCGUGUUCGGAGUCCGAUUGACGCCCAACGGUUAACUAUAGCGGCAAUAUAGCCGGUCUAACUUCGGACGUUUUCGGUCUCUGAAAACAGUCGCCGGUCCUCCAUCUCUUCUCUUCUCUCAGCUCGAGACCGUCUACACAGCCCACUACCUACCCCAGGCCCAACCUAACCUCUCUCGUCAGCCCGCGGCCCUCCUCGCGCCCGAAAGUUGUCCCGGACCCGAACCGGACAGUCGUUAUCGUUGUGUCCAGAUCAUCCCCAAACAUUUACAAAACGUCACCGUUUUCUUAUUUGGAACCCCUAGCUAUUUUAUUCGCGAUCGUCCGAUUACGAUCGGAGGGACGAUAUAGCCCCUAACCAAACCCACUUGCUAUAUAUAUUUGCCCAACCUAGACCAAAUCCCUAUUUCCUAGGGAUCCAUCCCACCGCCGCCACCCACUUCCUCGGAUUCCACGCCAAACCAAUCCCUGCAUCUCUCUCGAUCCAAACCUCCACCAACCAGAUCCACCCCGCAGACGAAUGCCUCCGCAUCACCCAUCACCCGAGCCAGCCGAGGGCCUCGUUCCCGAGCCGAGCUCCAUGGGAGCAUGCCAGACGCCAUGGCCGCCGAAGGGACUCCGCCGCCUCACCGAAUCCACGCCUCCUCCUCACGCCAGGGGCUCGUCCUCGCGCCCGAGCGCGCGCAGUCAGCUCCGACUCGGCGCCCCACCCAAACUCCAUCUGCAGCCGUGCUUCCUUGCCUCCACGCCCGCAACCACCCGAGGAGAGAGCCUCGCGCUCGUGCACGAGCACGCACAUGAACUUCUGCGCCCGCGCCUCUACCACCCUGACGCCAUGAAAGAGCUCCGAGCUCUUCCCCAACGUCGGCAUCCUCAACCACCCCGCGCCACUACCGGCAGCUCGUCGCCGGAGACCCAUCAGCAGACCACCAGCGUUGUGCCCCGCCAUGCUUCGUGCCUUGCCGUUUGUCACCGAGAGCGUGCUGCACCCCUUACUGAACCUUGCCGUCUCCUUGCCUGCUCUGCAUCCAGACUGCAGCACCGAGGAGAGGCCUCUGUGUGGACCCCGCCAAUCCGUCCUGCUGCUGCCGUCAAGCUGCAUCCACGACAUCCUUGUUGGGGAACGUUGCAGAAAAUAAAAAUUUUCCUACGAUUUCACCAAGAUCCAUCUAUGAGUUCAUCUAGCAACGAGCGAUUGGAUGCAUCUACAUACCUUUGUAGAUCGCGAGCGGAAGCGUUCAAAGAACGGGGAUGAUGUAGUCGAACACGACGUGAUCCAAAUCACCGAUGACCAAGUGCCGAACGGACGGCACCUCCGCAUUCAACACACGUACGGAGCGGAUGACGUCUCCUCCUUCUUGAUCCAGCAAGGGGGGGGGGAGGAGAGGUUGAUGAAGAUCCAGCAGCACGACGGCGUGGUGGUGGAUGCAGGACGUCACAGUAGCAGGGCUCCGCCUAUACUACGCGAGAGAGAGAUGUAACGGGGAGAGAGGGAGGCGCCAAGGGCUGUACCUCAAGUCCCUCCUCUCCCCCACUAUAUAUAGGGGUGCUAGGGGGGGCGCCGGAUCUCCUAGGGGGGGUCGGCGGCCAAGGGGUGGGGCUUGCCCCCCAAGCAAGGGGGCGCCCCCUUUAGGGUUUCCCCCCCAACCCUAGCCGCAUGGGCCCUAGGGGGGUGGAGCCCCAGCCCACUUUGGGCUGGGUUCCUUCCCACUUUGGCCCAUGGGGCCCUCCCGGGAUAGGUGGCCUCACCCGGUGGACCCCCGGGACCCUUCCGGUGGUCCCGGUACAAUACCGGUGACCCCGAAACUUGUCCCGAUGGCCGAAAUAGCACUUCCUAUAUAUAAUUCUUUACCUCCGGACCAUUCCGGAACUCCUCGUGACGUCCGGGAUCACAUCCGGGACUCCGAACAAUAUUCGGGUUACUGCAUAUACAUAUCUUCACAACCCUAGCGUCACCGAACCUUAAGUGUGUAGACCCUACGGGUUCGGGAGACAUGUAGACAUGACCGAGACGACUCUCCGGUCAAUAACCAACAGCGGGAUCUGGAUACCCAUGUUGGCUCCCACAUGCUCCACGAUGAUCUCAUCGGAUGAACCACGAUGUCGAGGAUUCAAUCAACCCCGUAUGCAAUUCCCUUUGUCAAUCGAUAUGUUACUUGCCCGAGAUUCGAUCGUCGGUAUCCCAAUACCUCGUUCAAUCUCGUUACUGGCAAGUCACUUUACUCGUACCGUAAUGCAUGAUCCCGUGACCAGACACUUGGUCACUUUGAGCUCAUUAUGAUGAUGCAUUACCGAGUGGGCCCAGUGAUACCUCUCCGUCAUACGGAGUGACAAAUCCCAGUCUUGAUCCGUGUCAACCCAACAGACACUUUCGGAGAUACCCGUAGUAUACCUUUAUAGUCACCCAGUUACGUUGUGACGUUUGGUACACCCAAAGCACUCUUACGGUAUCCGGGAGUUACAUGAUCUCAUGGUCUAAGGAAAUGAUACUUGACAUUGGAAAAACUCUAGCAAACGAACUAUACGAUCUUUAUGCUAUGUUUAGGAUUGGGUCUUGUCCAUCACAUCAUUCUCCUAAUGAUGUGAUCUCGUUAUCAAUGACAUCCAAUGUCCAUAGCCAGGAAACCAUGACUAUCUGUUGAUCAACGAGCUAGUCAACUAGAGGCUUACUAGGGACAUGUUGGUGUCUGUUAUUUACACAUGUAUUACGAUUUCCGGAUAACACAAUUAUAGCAUGAAUAAAGACAAUUAUCAUGAACAAGGAAAUAUAAUAAUAAUGCUUUUAUUAUUGCCUCUAGGGCAUAUUUCCAACAGUCUCCCACUUGCACUAAUCUAGUUACAUUGUGAUGAAUCGAACACCCAUGGAAUUCUGGUGUUGAUCAUGUUUUGCCCUCGGGAGAGGUUUAGUCAACGGAUCUGCUACAUUCAGGUCCGUAUGUACUUUACAAAUCUCUAUGUCUCCAUCUUGAACAUUUUCACGAAUGGAGUUGAAGCGACGCUUGAUGUGCCUUGUCUUCUUGAGAAACCUGGGCUCCUUGGCAAGUGCAAUAGCUCCAGUGUUGUCACAGAAGAGCUUGAUCGGCCCCGACGCAUUGGGUAUGACUCCGAGGUCGGUGAUGAACUCCUUCACCCAAAUUGCUUCAUGUGCUGCCUCCGGGGCUGCCAUGAACUCCGCUUCACAUGUAGAUCCCGCCACGACGCUCUGCUUGCAACUGCACCAGCUUACUGCCCCACCAUUCAAAAUAUACACGUAUUCGGUUUGUGACUUUGAGUCAUCCAGAUCUGUGUCGAAGCUAGCGUCGACGUAACCCUUUACGACGAGCUCUUCAUCACCUCCAUAAACGAGAAACAUUUCCUUAGUCCUUUUUAGGUACUUCAGGAUAUUCUUGACCGCUGUCCAGUGUUACUUGCCGGGAUUACUUUGGUACCUUCCUACCAAACUUAUGGGAAGGUUUACAUCAGGUCUGGUACACAGCAUGGCAUACAUAAUAGAACCUAUGGCCGAGGCAUAGGGGAUGACAAUCAUCUCUUCUAUUUCUUCUACCGUGGUCGGACUUUGAGUCGAGCUCAAUUUCAUACCUUGCAACACAGGCAAGAACCCCUUCUUAGACUGAUCCAUAUUGAACUUCUUCAAUAUCUUCUCAAGGUAUGUGCUUUGUGAAAGACCUAUGAGGCGUCUUGAUCUAUCUCUAUAGAUCUUGAUGCCUAAUAUAUAAGCAGCUUCUCCAAGGUCCUUCAUUGAAAAACUCUUAUUCAAGUAGGCCUUGAUGCUGUCCAAGAGUUCUAUAUCAUUUCCCAUCAAAAGUAUGUCAUCUACAUAUAGUAUGAGAAAUGCUACAGAGCUCCCACUCACUUUCUUGUAAACGCAGGCUUCUCCAUAAGUCUGCGUAAACCCAAACGCUUUGAUCAUCUCAUCAAAGCGAAUGUUCCAACUUCGAGAUGCUUGCACCAGCCCAUAAAUCGAGCGUUGGAGCUUGCACACCUUGUCAGCAUUCUUAGGAUCGACAAAACCUUCCGGCUGCAUCAUAUACAAUUCUUCCUUAAGGAAACCAUCAAGGAAUGCCGUUUUGACGUCCAUUUGCCAUAUUUCAUAAUCGUAGAUGCGGCAAUUGCUAACAUGAUUCGGACGGACUUCAGCUUCGCUACCGGUGAGAAAGUCUCAUCGUAGUCAACCCCUUGAACUUGUCGAUAACCCUUAGCGACAAGCCGAGCUUUAUAGAUGGUCACAUUACCAUCCGCGUCUGUCUUCUUCUUAAAGAUCCAUUUAUUUUCUAUGGCUCGCCGUUCAACGGGCAAGUCAGUCAAAGUCCAUACUUUGUUUUCAUACAUGGAUCCUAUCUCGGAUUUCAUGGCUUCUAGCCAUUUGUCGGAAUCCGGGCCCGCCAUUGCUUCUUCAUAGUUCGAAGGUUCACCGUUGUCUAACAACAUGAUUUCCAAGACAGGGUUGCCGUACCAUUCUGGUGCGGAACGUGUCCUUGUGGACCUUCGAAGUUCAAUAGCAACUUGAUCAGAAGUUUCAUGAUCAUCAUCAUUAACUUCCUCUCUAGUCGGUGCAGGCACCUCAGGAACAUUUUCUUGAGUUGCACCAUUUUCCGGUUCAAGAGGAAACACUUCAUCAAGUUCUACUUUCCUCCCACUUACUUCUUUCGAGAGAAACUCCUUCUCUAGAAAGCAUCCAUUCCUGGCAACAAAGAUCUUGCCUUCGGAUCUGAGGUAGAAGGUACACCCAACAGUUUCUUCAGGGUAUCCUAUGAAGACGCAUUUUUCCGACUUGGGUUCGAGCUUUUCAGGUUGAAGUUUCUUGACAUAAGCAUCGCAUCCCCAAACUUUUACAAACGACAACUUAGGUUUCUUCCCAAACCAUAAUUCAAACGGUGUCCUCUCAACGGAUUUCGACGGAGCCCUAUUUAAAGUGAAUGCAGCAGUCUCUAAAGCAUAGCCCCAAAAAGAUAGCGGUAAAUCGGUAAGAGACAUCAUAGACCGCACCAUAUCUAAUAGAGUGCGAUUACGACGUUCGGACACACCAUUACGCUGAGGUGUUCCAGGCGGCGUCAGUUGUGAAACUAUUCCACAUUUUCUUAAGUGUGUGCCAAAUUCAUGACUCAAGUAUUCUCCUCCACGAUCUGAUUGUAGAAACUUGAUUUUCCUGUCACGUUGAUUCUCAACCUCAUUCUGAAAUUCCUUGAACUUUUUCAAAGGUUUCAGACUUGUGUUUCAUUAAGUAGACAUACCCAUAUCUACUCAAGUAAUCAGUGAGGGUGAGAACAUAACGAUAGCCACCACGAGCCUCAACACUCAUUGGACCGCACACAUCAGUAUGUAUGAUUUCCAAUAAGUUGGUUGCUCGCUCCAUUGUUCCUGAGAACGGAGUCUUGGUCAUUUUACCCAUAAGGCACGGUUCGCACGUGUCAAAUGAUUUAUAAUCAAGAGACUCUAAAAGUCCAUCUGUAUGGAGCCUCUUCAUGCGUUUGACGCCUAUGUGACCAAGGCGGCAGUGCCACAAGUAUGUGGGACUAUCAUUAUCAACCUUACAUCUUUUGGUACUCACACUAUGAACAUGUGUAGCAUUACGUUCGAGAUUCAUAAAGAAUAAACCAUUCACCAUAGGAGCAUGACCAUAAAACAUAUCUCUCAUAUAAAUAGAACAACCAUUAUUCUCGGAUUUAAAUGAGUAGCCAUCUCGAAUUAAACAAGAUCCCGAUACAAUGUUCAUGCUCAAAGCUGGCACUAAAUAACAAUUAUUGAGGUUUAAAACUAAUCCCGUAGGUAAAUGAAGAGGCAGCGUGCCGACGGCGAUCACGUCGACUUUGGAACCAUUCCCGACGCGCAUCGUCACCUCGUCCUUCGCCAGUCUCCGCUUAUUCCGUAGUUCCUGCUGUGAGUUACAAAUGUGAGCAACUGCACCGGUAUCAAAUACCCAAGAGCUACUACGAUUACUGGUAAGGUACACAUCAAUUACAUGUAUAUCACAUAUACCUUUUGUUUUGCCGGCCUUCUUGUCUGCUAAGUAUUUGGGGCAGUUCCGCUUCCAGUGACCGUUUCCCUUGCAAUAAAAGCACUCAGUCUCGGGCUUGGGUCCAUUCUUUGGCUUCUUGCCAGCAGCUUGCUUGCCGGGCGCGGCAACUUUCUUGCCGUCCUUCUUGAAGUUCUUUUUACCCUUGCCUUUCUUGAACUUAGUGGUUUUAUUGACCAUCAACACUUGAUGUUCCUUCUUGACUUCUAUCUCCGCUGAUUUCAGCAUUGAAAACAACUCAGGAAUGGUCUUUUGCAUCCCCUGCAUGUUGAAGUUCAUCACAAAGCUCUUGUAGCUUGGUGGAAGCGACUGGAGGAUUCUGUCAAUGACCGCAUCAUCCGGGAGAUUAACUCCCAGCUGAGACAAGCGGUUAUGUAACCCAGACAUAGUGAGUAUGUGUUCACUGACAGAACUAUUUUCCUCCAUCUUACAGCUGAAGAACUUAUCGGAGACUUCAUAUCUCUCAAUCCGGGCGUGAGCUUGAAAAACCAUUUUCAGCUCUUCGAACAUCUCAUAUGCUCCAUGUCUCUCAAAACGCUUUUGGAGUCCCGGCUCUAGGCUGUAAAGCAUGCCGCACUGAACGAGGGAGUAGUUAUCAACACGUGUCUGCCAAGCGUUCAUAACGUCUUGGUUCUGUGGGAUGGGAGGGUCACCUAGCGGUGCUUGUAGGACAUAAUCUUUCUUGGCAGCUAUGAGUAUGAUCCUCAGGUUCUGGACCCAGUCCGUGUAGUUGCUGCCAUCGUCUUUCAGCUUGGUUUUCUUUAGGAACGCGUUGAAGUUGAGGACUACGUUGGCCAUUUGAUCUACAAGACAUAUUGUAAAGAUUUUGGACUAAGUUCAUGAUAAUUAAGUUCAUCUAAUCAAAUUAUCAAUGAACUCCCACUUAGAUUAGACAUCCCUCUAGUCAUCUAAGUAUUACAUGAUCCGAGUUAACUAGGUCGUGUCCGAUCAUCACGUGAGACGGACUAGUCAACGUCGGUGAACAUCUUCAUGUUGAUCGUAUCUUCUAUACGACUCAUGCUCGACCUUUCGGUCUUCUGUGUUCCGAGGCCAUGUCUAUACACAUGCUAGGCUCGUCAAGUUAACCCUAAGUGUUUUGCAUGUGUAAAACUGUCUUACACCCGUUGUAUGUGAACGUAAGGAUCUAUCACACCCGAAUAUCACGUGGUGCUUCGAAACGACGAACUUUAGCAACGGUGGACAGUUAGGGGAGAACACUUCUUGAAAUUGUUAUGAGGGAUCAUCUUAUUUACUACCGUCGUUCUAAGUAAACCAGAUGCAUAAACAUGAUAAACAUCACAUGCAAUCAAAUAAUGAACGUGACAUGAUAUGGCCAAUAUCACAUAGCUCCUUUGAUCUCCAUCUUGGGGCUCCAUGAUCAUCUUGUCACCGGCUUGACACCAUGAUCUCCAUCAUCAUGAUCUCCAUCAUCAUGUCUCCAUGAAGUCGCUCGCCAACUAUUACUUCUAAUACUAUGGCUAACGCGUUUAGCAAUAAAGUAAAGUAAUUUACAUGGCGUUUCUCAAUGACACGCACGUCAUAUAAAAUAAAGACAACUCCUAUGGCUCCUGCCGGUUGUCAUACUCAUCGACAUGCAAGUCGUGAUUCCUAUUACAAUAGCAUGAACAUCUCAUACAUUACAUAUAGAUCAUUCAUCAUUCAUCACAACUUUGGCCAUAUCAUAUCACAAAGCACUUGCUGCAAAAACAAGUUAGACGUCCUCUAAUUGUUGUUGCAAGUUUUACGUGGCUGAAUUAGGGUUCUAGCAAGAACGUCUUCUUACCUACGCGAAAGCCACAACGUGAUUUGUCAACUUCUAUUUACCCUUCAUAAGGACCCUGUUCAUCGAAUCCGCUCCAACAAAAGUGGGAGAGACAGACACCCGCCAGCCACCUUACGCAACUAGUGCAUGUUAGUCGGUGGAACCGGUCUCACGUAAGCGUACGUGUAAGGUUGGUCCGGGCCGCUUCAUCCCACAAUACCGCUGAAGCAAGAAAAGACUAGUAGCGGCAAGAAAGUUGACAAAUCAACGCCCACAACAAAUUGUGUUCUACUCGCGCAAGAAGAACUACGCAUAGACCUAGCUCAUGAUGCCACCGUUGGGGAACGUUGCAGAAAAAAAAAUUCCUAUGGUUUCACCAAGAUCCAUCUAUGAGUUCAUCUAGCAACGAGUGAUCGGAUGCAUCUACAUACCUUUGUAGAUCGCGAGCGGAAGCGUUCAAAGAACGGGGAUGAAGUAGUCGAACACGACAUGAUCCAAAUCACCGAUGACCAAGCACUGAACGGACGGCACCUCCGCGUUCAACACACGUACGGAGCGGAUGACGUCUCCUCCUUCUUGAUCCAGCAAGGGGGGGGAGGAGAGGUUGAUGAAGAUCCAGCAGCAUGACGGCGUGGUGGUGGAUGCAGGGCGUCACAGUAGCAGGGCUGCGCCUAUACUACGCGAGAGAGAGAUGUAACGGGGAGAGAGGGAGGCGCCAGGGGCUGUACCUCAAGUCCCUCCUCUCCCCCACUAUAUAUAGGGGUGCUAGGGGCGGCGCCGGCCCUAGGAGAUGGGAUCUCCUAGGGGGGCGGCGGCCAAGGGGUGGGGCUUGCCCCCCAAGCAAGGGGGCGCCCCCUUUAGGGUUUCCCCCCCCCCCAACCCUAGCUGCAUGGGCCCUAGGGGGGUGGUGCCCCAGCCCACUUUGGGCUGGGUUCCUUCCCACUUUGGCCCAUGGGGCCCCCCGGGAUAGGUGGCCCCACCCGGUGGACCCCCGGGACCCUUCCGGUGGUCCCAGUACAAUAUCGGUGACCCCGAAACUUGUCCCGAUGGCCGAAAUAGCACUUCCUAUAUAUAAUUCUUUACCUCCGGACCAUUCCGGAACUCCUCGUCACGUCCGGGAUCUCAUCUGGGACUCCGAACAAUAUUCGGGUUACUGCAUAUACAUAUGUUCACAACCCUAGCGUCACCAAACCUUAAGUGUGUAGACCCUACGGGUUCGGGAGACAUGUAGACAUGACCGAGACGACUCUCCGGUCAAUAACCAACAGCGGGAUCUGGAUACCCAUGUUGGCUCCCACAUGCUCCACGAUAAUCUCAUCGGAUGAACCAUGAUGUCGAGGAUUCAAUCAACCCCGUAUGCAAUUCCCUUUGUCAAUCGAUAUAUUACUUGCCCGAGAUUCGAUCGUCGGUAUCCCAAUACCUCGUUCAAUCUCGGUACUGGAAAGUCACUUUACUCGUACCGUAAUGCAUGAUCCCGUGACCAGAUACUUGGUCACUUUGAGCUCAUUAUGAUGAUGCAUUACCGAGUGGGCCCAGUGAUACCUCUCCGUCAUACCGAGUGACAAAUCCCAGUCUUGAUCCGUGUCAACCCAACAGACACUUUCGGAGAUACCCGUAGUAUACCUUUAUAGUCACCCAGUUACGUUGUGACGUUUGGUACACCCAAAGCACUCUUACAGUAUCCAGGAGUUACACGAUCUCAUGGUCUAAGGAAAGGAAACUUGACAUUGGAAAAACUCUAGCAAACGAACUAUAUGAUCUUUAUGCUAUGUUUACGAUUGGGUCUUGUCCAUCACAUCAUUCUCCUAAUGAUGUGAUCUCGUUAUCAAUGACAUCCAAUGUCCAUAGCCAGGAAACCAUGACUAUCUGUUGAUCAACGAGCUAGUCAACUAGAGGCUUACUAGGGACAUGUUGGUGUCUGUUAUUCACACAUGUAUUACGAUUUCCGGAUAACACAAUUAUAGCAUGAAUAAAGACAAUUAUCAUGAACAAGGAAAUAUAAUAAUAAUGCUUUUAUUAUUGCCUCUAGGGCAUAUUUCCAACAAUCCCCAUCGCCAAGACCCGGAGAUCAUGUCCUCGCCGGCCUCAUUGCUUUUCCCUUCAGAUCCAGCCUGCUCGAUCCCCUGCUUCAGGACAGAGACGUCGAACGCUGUCGCCACGCGUUGACUGUCCAGCAUGCCAAGGCCCAGCGGGGCCCAAGGCCCAGCUCCUCCCGAGCCGGCCCCUCUCCACGUCGCCCACGCCCUGGCCUCAAGCCUGAUCCGGCCUGCCCUGCCUCCUCCACAAACUGGACUAGGCCCACUAGGUUGAGGCCACACCCGAGCGCCCUUUUUUUGUUGUUGUUGUUUUCCUUCUGUUGGGCCCAAUCUCAGAUGCAGCCUGAUUCCUUUUUUUCUCCGUGGAUCAAAUUUAGAUAUUAUUCCAGAGGCUGCAGUUUUUCGGAAAACCCCUUGCACAACAUGCAUAUAAUAACUCACAAUUUGUGCAUCGGAUUAAAAUGAAUUAUAUAUGAAACUUGCUUAGAAUUUCAUCUAGUUUCAUAAUAUGCAAUUUUCAUCCAUGUUUAAAAUGUUGUUUGCAUAUAAUUUUCUCCUAUGCCAUGCUAAAAUGAUUUAAUUCAUAACUAAAUAACCAUAGCUCCAAGUUUAAUAAACUUUAUAUGUAAUUGGGGUGGAAAAAUGCCUAGUUUAACAUGGUGACCUUACUUUGCAUGUUUAAUAACUCUAAAAUUAUGUUUAGGGCAGAACAGUACCAUAACCAAAAUAUGCAAAUGAGGAGUUUCCGGAAUUGUUGUUCCUUGUUUCCGGCCUCAUUCAAACUUGCCUAAAUGUUUAGUUUACUUAUGCUUCACCCCUUGCCAUGUUAAUCAACAUUUAAUAUUGUUGGGUACAUAAACAAGAUCGAUCUAAAUAGGUCAUGUGGUGUUUUCUUCAAUAUGCAACUCCGUUGCAUGUUGAGCUCAACUUAAUUUGUAGGAUUGUUUGAGCAUUUUGCCAUGCCAUGCUUCAUUAAACCGGACAUGCAUCAUACUUGGUUGUGCAUCAUGCCAUAUUUAUGUGGUGGUUGUUUACCAUGAUUGUUUGCUUCUUUCCGGUGUUGUCUCUUCGGGUUGGUUCCGAUAACGUCGCGUUGUGAGGAACCGUUCGACUACGACCGUUUGACUUCUUCAUGGACUCAUUCUUCUUCCUUGCGGGAUCUCAGGCAAGAUGACCAUACCCUCAAAAUCACAUCUAUCUUUGCUUGCUAGUUGCUCGCUCUUUUGCUAUGCCUAUGCUGCGAUACCUACCACUUGCUUAUCAUGCCUCCCAUAUUGUGAACCAAAGCUCUAACCCACCUUGUCCUAGCAAACCGUUGUUUGGCUAUGUUACCGCUUUGCUCAGCCCUCGUAUAGCGUUGUUAGUUGCAGGUGAAGAUUGAAGUUUGUUCCUUGUUGGAACAUGGAGAUGUUGUUCCUUGUUCGGAACAUGUUUACUUGUUGGGAUAUCACAAUAUAUCUUAUUUAAUUUAUGCAUCUAUAUACUUGGUAAAGGGUGGAAGGCUCGGCCUUAUGCCUGGUGUUUUGUUCCACUCUUGCCACCCUAGUUUCCGUCAUAUCGGUGUUAUGUUCCCGGAUUUUGCGUUCCUUACGCGGUUGGGCUAUUAUGGGAACCCCUUGACAGUUCGCCUUGAAUAAAACUCCUCCAGCAAUGCCCAACAUUGGUUUUACCAUUCGCCACCUAGCCUCUUUUCCCUUGGGUUUCGCGGACUCAAGAGUCAUCUUUAUUUUAAACCGCCCCCCCGGGCCAGUGCUCCUCUGAGUGUUGGUCCGAAACGGGCAGCCUGCGAGGCCACCUCGGGGAAACUCGAGGGAUGGUUUUACUCGUAGCUUGACCUAUCUGAGUGUGCCCUGAGAACGAGAUAUGUGCAGCUCCUAUCAGGAUUUGUCGGCACAUUCGGGCGGUGUUGCUGGACUUGUUUUACCAUUGUCGAGGAUGUCUUGUAGAACCAGGAUACCAAGUCUGAUCGGAAUGUCUCGGGAGGAGGUCUAUUCCUUCGUUGACCGUGAGAGCUUGUGAUAGGCUAAGUUGGGACACCCCUGCAGGGAUUUGAACUUUCGAAAGCCGUGCCCGCGGUUAUGGGCAGAUGGGAAUUUGUUAAUAUCCGGUUGUAGAAAACCUGAAGUUGACCUUAAUUAAAAUACAUCAACCGCGUGUGUAACCAUGAUGGUCUCUUUCCGGUGGAGUCCGGGAAGUGAACACGGUGUUGGAGUUAUGCUUGGCGUAGGUUGUUCUAAGAUCACUUCUUGAUCAUAGUUUCUCGAUCAUGCUUUGCCUUCUCUUCUCGCUCUCAUUUGCGUAUGUUAGCCACCAUAUAUGCUAGUCGCUUGCUGCAGCUCCACCUCAUACCUUUACCUUACCCAUAAGCUUAAAUAGUCUUGAUCGCGAGGGUGCGAGAUUGCUGAGUCCCCGUGGCUCACAGAUACUUCCAAAACCAGUUUCCAGGUGCCGAUGUUACUGAGCAGGUGACGCAACCAAGCUCAGGAGGAGCUCGAUGAAGAUCUUGUCCUUUGUGUUGUUUCGUUCUAGUUGGUCAUUAGUGGAGCCCAGUUGGGGUCGAUCGGGGACCUUUGUCGCAUUUGGGGUUCUUCUUUUAUUUUGGUUCCAUAGUCGGACCUUUAUUGUAUCUGAAUGAUGUAAUGCUUUAUUCAUGUAAUUGUGUGAAGUGGAGAUUGUAACCCAACUAUGUAUCUCUUUCCCCUAUGUAUUACAUGGGUUGUGUGAAGAUUACCUCACUUGCGACAUUGCUUUCAAUGCGGUUAUGCCUCUAAGUCGUG
rnacentral:lncRNA from 1 species